rfam:Simkania negevensis Z main chromosome, complete genome
GAUUAAGCUAUUAAGAGCUAUUGGUGGAUGCCUUGGCAUCGACAGGCGAUGAAGGACGCGCGUACCUGCGAUAAGCUUCGGGGAGCUGGAUAGAAGCAUUGAACCGAAGAUUUCCGAAUGGGGGAACCCAGUGGAGUUAGUCCUCCACUAUUCCUACCUGAAUACAUAGGGUUGGAAAGCAAUACCUGCUGAAUUGAGACAUCUAAGUAGGCAGAGGAAAAGAAAUCAAUUGAGAUUCCCGUAGUAGCGGCGAGCGAAGUGGGAAGAGCCCAAACCGAAAAUUUAUUUUCGGGGUUGUAGGACUAGUCAUAAAGCUUAAGUGGACUUAGCAUAAUCAUCUGGGAAGGUGAGCGAUACAGGGUGAAAGCCCCGUGUGCAAAGAGAAAGCUUAAGUGAGAUUAGCACCUGAGUAGGGCCGGACACGUGAAACCCGGUCUGAAUCUGGGGAGACCACUCUCCAAGGCUAAAUACUCGUCGAUGACCGAUAGUGCACAAGUACAGUGAUGGAAAGGUGAAAAGAACCCCUGUUAGGGGAGUGAAAUAGAAUCUGAAACCAGUAGCUUACAAGCGGUCAGAGGCCUAUAUCCCUUUUAGGGAAAUGGCUGAUGGCGUGCCUUUUGCAUGAUGAGCCAGCGAGUUAAGUUAUACGGCUAGGUUAAGGAAUAUACGUUCCGGAGCCGGAGUGAAAGCGAGCGUUAAUAGCGCUUACAGUCGUAUGAUUUAGACACGAAACCAAGUGAUCUAUCCAUGACCAGGAUGAAGCACGAGUAACAUCGUGUGAAGGUCCGAACUAGUGUAUGUUGAAAAAUACUUGGAUGAGUUGUGGAUAGGGGUGAAAGGCCAAUCAAACUUGGAGAUAUCUUGUUCUCUCCGAAAUAACUUUAGGGUUAGCCUUGACUUUCAGACUUUUGGGGGUAGAGCACUGGAUUCCCAAGGGGGCCUACCGGCCUACCAAAGGAAACCAAACUCCGAAUACUAAAAGUUAAGUCAGGAGAUAGACAGUGGGGGAUAAGCUUCAUUGUCAAAAGGGGAACAGCCCAGAUCGCCGAUUAAGGCCCCUAAUUCUAUGCUAAGUGAGUAAGGAUGUGAAGUUUCACAGACAGUUGGAAUGUUGGCUUAGAGGCAGCCACCAUUUAAAGAGUGCGUAACAGCUCACCAACCGAGAAAUUUUGCGCCGAUAAUAAACGGGACUAAGCAUAGAGCCGAAAUCGCGGGUGCCAUACAUUUGUAUGGCGCGGUAGGAGAGCGUAGUAUGUGCGGUGAAGAUAUACCGAAAGGAGUGUUGGAGCGCAUACUAGUGAGGAUGCAUGGCAUGAGUACACGAUAAAGGAAGUGAGAAUCUUCCUCGCCGAAAGCCUAAGGUUUCCAGGGUAAAGCUCGUCUUCCCUGGGUUAGCCGGCCCCUAAGCCGAGGCAGAAAUGCGUAGGCGAUGGAAAGCAGGUUAAAUAUUCCUGCGCCACCUAAAACUAUGGUGAUGGGACGACGAAGUAUGUUAAGCACGCGAACUAUUGGAUGUUCGUUUCUCUAUGAGGCCGCUCAGCAGGUAAAUCCGCUGAGAGAAAGCCAGGUAGGGGACAAGGGGAACCUUCGGGGGAACCGAUGGUGUAGCGCUAGGCUUCCAAGAAAUAGUCUCUAACCGUUGAUGGUGACCGUACCAAAACCGACACAGGUAGGCAUGAUGAAUAUUCUCAGGCGCGCGAGACAACUCUCGUUAAGGAACUCGGCAAAUUAUCCUCGUAACUUCGGAAGAAGAGGAGCCCCUUGGUGUGAUUCCCUUGCGGAUAAGCAUCGGGGGGCCGCAGAGAAAUGGCCCAGGCGACUGUUUAACAAAAACACAGCACUAUGCAAACUCGUCUAAGAGGAAGUAUAUGGUGUGAUGCCUGCCCAAUGCCAAAAGGUCAACAGGAGGCGUCAGCCCUUCGGGGCGAAGCGCUGAAUAUAAGCCCUGGUGAAUGGCGGCCGUAACUAUAACGGUCCUAAGGUUAAUAGCUAGCCUUAGUAAAACCAAACUAUAUGCGGGAAAACCCUCAAAAGCUUUAAGGUACUCGUUUAGAUAAGUCUAAGCAGUAAAAAUCCUUAAAGAUAUGUGGGCGAUCCGCAGGAAAGACUAAUUGCUUGAAACUCUUAGGUAAAACUUGUCCCUGGUGAGACAAGUUAACUAAGAGCUAAAUUGGAAUCCUCAGAGACCAAACGUUUGGAGUUUGAAAUGCAUUUAGAUGCACAAUGGAUAGUUGGAUUUGUCGAUGGAGAAGGAUGUUUUAAAGUUUCUCUCAAUAAAAUGAAGGAAAUUGAAACUGAAUUCACCGUUGUUCAAAACGAGCAAGAUGUACAAGUACUUUUCGCGUUAAAAAAGCAUUUUGGAUGUGGAGUGGUUCGAAAGAUCCCUUCAAACAGGAUGUGUUAUCGCGUAAAAGAAACUAAACAUCUCUUAACAAAGAUCAUUCCUUUUUUUGAAAAACACUCUCUUAAAACUUUUAAGCGAGUGGAGUUUCAAAAGUUUAGGAAAAUACUCUUGAAAAUCCAAAGAAAUGAGCACAUGAGCGCUGAUGGAAUUGACGAAAUUCAAAACAUCAUCAGACAAGUGGCUUCAAUUCAAACUAAGAUAGAGUCCGACUCUUUUGGAAACAAAAGGGACUAAUCGAGCGAAAUUCCUUGUCGGGUAAGUUCCGACCUGCACGAAUGGCGUAACGAUCUGGGCGCUGUCUCAACGAGAGACUCGGUGAAAUUGUAGUAGCGGUGAAGAUGCCGUUUACCCGCAGCUAGACGGAAAGACCCCGUGAACCUUUACUGUACUCUGAUAUUGGCUUUUGACUUGUCAUGUGUAGGAUAGCCGGGAGGCUGUGAAAGAGAUUCGUCAGGAUUUCUGGAGCCAUCCUUGAAAUACCGGCCUUGACAUGUUGAAAAUCUAACGAAGCCCCGUGAAUCCGGGGUUCGGACAUUGUCAGACGGGCAGUUUGACUGGGGCGGUAUCCUCCUAAAAUGUAACGGAGGAGUUCAAAGCUUGCCUCAUCGUGGUUGGCAAUCACGAUUAGAGCGUAAAGGUAUAAGGCAAGUUGACUGCGAGACCAACGAGUCGAGCAGGUACGAAAGUAGGACUUAGUGAUCCGGCGGUGGAAAGUGGAAUCGCCGUCGCUUAACGGAUAAAAGGUACUCCGGGGAUAACAGGCUUAUCGCCACCAAGAGUUCAUAUCGACGUGGCGGUUUGGCACCUCGAUGUCGACUCAUCGCAUCCUGGGGCUGUAGAAGGUCCCAAGGGUUUGGCUGUUCGCCAAUUAAAGCGGUACGCGAGUUGGGUUCAGAACGUCGUGAGACAGUUUGGUCCCUAUCUGCUGUGGGCGUAGGAUACUUGAGAAGAGCUGCUUCUAGUACGAGAGGACCGAAGUGGACGAACCAAUGGUGUUCCGGUUGUUCUGCCAAGAGCAUUGCCGGGUAGCUAUGUUCGGAAAGGAUAAGCGUUGAAAGCAUCUAAACGCCAAGCCUCCUUCAAGAUAAAGUAUCCCUAUGAGACAACCUGAAGACGACAGGGUUGAUAGGCUGGGUGUGUAAGUACAGCAAUGUAUUGAGCUAACCAGUACUAAUCUGUCCAUUGGCUUAAUCUU